rnacentral:tRNA from 1 species
GGGCUCAUGGCCUAAUGGUAAGGCGUCAGAUUUCGGUUCAUGACCCGCCCUCUGAAAAUUGCAGGUUCGAUCCCUGCUGAGCUCG